rnacentral:tRNA from 1 species
GUCGGCUCCGGCGCGGGAGCGCAGGUUCACUCCGUGGGCGAGCAGGGCCAGCACGUCGGCGGUGGGCCCGGGGUCGACGCCCGGGGCCAGUU